rnacentral:rRNA from 1 species
GUCCACACGGUAAACGAUGGAUACUCGCUGUUGGCGAUAUACUGUCAGCGGCCAAGCGAAAGCAUUAAGUAUCCCACCUGGGGAGUACGCCGGCAACGGUGAAACUCAAAGGAAUUGACGGGGGCCCGCACAAGCGGAGGAACAUGUGGUUUAAUUCGAUGAUACGCGAGGAACCUUACCCGGGCUUAAAUUGCAGACGAAUUACUUGGAAACAGGUAAGCCGCAAGGCGUCUGUGAAGGUGCUGCAUGGUUGUCGU